UACGGAGGAUGCGAGCGUUAUCCGGAUUUAUUGGGUUUAAAGGGUGCGCAGGCGGCACGGCAAGCCGGCGGUCAAAUCGCGGGGCUCAACCCCGCCCUGCCGUCGGAACUGCCGGGCUAGAGUGGGCGAGAAGUGCGCGGAAUGCGUGGUGUAGCGGUGAAAUGCUUAGAUAUCACGAAGAACUCCGAUUGCGAAGGCAGCUCACUAGACUGCAACUGACACUGAUGCUCGAAAGUGUGGGUAUCAAACAGG
rnacentral:rRNA from 1 species